GGCCUCUUUUUCCUUCAUUUUUUUUUUUUUUUUUUUUUGUAAACUUGAAAAGAAAAACAAUUGUUCUCACGUUAUCCAUCUUUCCAUUUAACUUUUUUAUUCUUUCACGUCUAUCCAUCUCUCUCAGUUCGAUAGAAGUAGAUGAAUCGGAGUAGAGCACUACCGGUGUACAUUAAAAGUAAUGGAGCAGCAACUCCAGCAAUUACACCAGAAAUAAUUCCCACCACAACUCCAGCGAUUCGGCAAUGCAUGCUUGAAAGGCGAUGAUUCAUCCUCCGACGGGUUGAAUUGACCCCUCUCAAUUUCAACUUUUUGCUCGACAAUCAGCCACCACCAUUAUCAGUCAUUACUAUUAGGUCCUCCAUUCUUCAAUUUCAUCUGUGUUCAAAAUAUAGGUCUAGCAUCACUGAUAAUUGUAUUUAAAUAAUACCUAACACGCUCUAUUGAAGUCUAGCAAGAUCAUUGCUCUCUUUUCCGUUAUAUUACUUCAAGUCUAGCAUCACUGAUAGUGGUAUUUAAAUAUUACCUAACACGCUCUCUUGAAGUCUAUCAAGAUCAUUGCUCUCUUUUCCGUUAUAUUACUUCAAGUCUAGCAUCACUGAUAAUUGUAUUUAAAUAAUACCUAACACGCUCUAUUGAAGUCUAUCAAGAUCAUUGCUCUCUUUUCCGUUAUAUUACUUCAAGUCUAGCAUCACUGAUAGUGGUAUUUAAAUAUUACCUAACACGCUCUCUUGAAGUCUAUCAAGAUCAUUGCUCUCUUUUCCGUUAUAUUACUUCAAGUGGUAUUGAAUUUGUCGCAACACAUUUGCCUAGUCCUGAGCUAAUGGAUUGUGGUAUGUAUCUCCAGAUGUGAUCCUGGCAUGGAAGAUGAUGUUUGUAAGGGUGAAAGCAAAGAACCAGAGAAAAGCAGCAAGUUGCAGAAUAUACACCAAAAGCUUAUAGUCAAGCAUAAUGGGUUGAAGAAAAUUUUGUCCAUGUAGUUUUUUCGAAAAUUCCUUAAUUUACUUGUUAUACUAUAUGUAUUGGUUGAAUCUUUGAGCACUCUUGAACAAGGAUAUUAUUAUGUAAAUGGGUUUUUUAGGGAAUGAAUAUAUAAUACAAUAUGGUACUCUGAACUAGUACAUUUUUA